UCGCUACUACCGAUUGAACGGUUUGAUGAGUUCCGAGGAUGGGACGCUUCCGGGGCUUGCCCCUGUUGUGUCCCAGAGCAGGUGCAAAUCUGAUCGUUUAGAGGAAGUAA
rnacentral:rRNA from 1 species